GUGGGCUGUAGCUCAGUGGUAGAGUGCUUGCCUUACACCUGUGAGGCACUGGGUUCCAUCCUCAGCACCACA
rnacentral:tRNA from 1 species